CUGAGUAGAGAGAGGGCAGAUAAACAAAGUGAAGGCAAAAAAAAUCUAAUCCAGACUUGGAACUGCCAGGAGACUGGAACUCAGGACUUGCUACAAAGAGAAAUGAAUAAUUUGGGAUAGCAUAACUAAGCAGAAAGCUGCUAGACCUAUCUAUCAAUUGUUUACCUGAGAGAAGAGGGAAAUAUUCUAAAUUUCUCGCUUCAGGGUCAGGGAGAAUGGUGAUGGGCAACAGGCAGAACCAAAGAGUCAAGUUUGAAGAAACUAUAGGGCUUUUACUUGGAGCUGACACAGAGCGUAUGGAGCGAAGUGUGAACUCAAGUAAGGCACCAUGGCACAUGCCUAUUGUCCCAGCAAGUUGGGAGUCUGAGAGAGGAGGAUCACUUGAGUCCAGGGGUUUGAGGCUGCAGUGAGUUAUGAUCAUGCCUGUAAACAGCCACUGCACUCCAACCUGGGAACCGUAGUGAGACCCUAUCUCAAAAAAGAAAAAAGUCUGAACUUAAGUCUAAUCUACCUCUUUUGGACUGUGUGAUCUCAUGUUACUUUACUACAUUAAGCCUCAGUUUCAUCAUCUGUAAAACAGCAGUACUUCCCUGAUGGAGUUGUGAACAGUCCACAGGAAGAGGUUGAACUAAAGAAGUUGAAACAUUUGGAGAAGUCUGUGGAGAAGAUAGCUGACCAGCUGGAAGAGUUGAAUAAAGAGCUUACUGGAAUCCAGCAGGGUUUUCUGCCCAAGGAUUUGCAAGCUGACGCUCUCUGCAAACUUGAUAGGAGAGUAAAAGCCACAAUAGAGCAGUUUAUGAAGAUCUUGGAGGAGAUUGACACACUGAUCCUGCCAGAAAAUUUCAAAGACAGUAGAUUGAAAAGGAAAGGCUUGGUAAAAAAGGUUCAGGCAUUCCUAGCUGAGUGUGACACAGUGGAGCAGAACAUCUGCCAGGAGACCGAGCGGCUGCAGUCUACAAACUUUGCCCUGGCCGAGUGAGGUGUGGCAGAAAAAGGCUGUGCUGCCCUGAAGAAUGGCGCCACCAACUCUGCCGUCUCUGGAGCAGAAUUUACCUGAUUUCUUCAGGGCUGCUGGGGGCAACUGGCCAUUUGCCAAUUUUCCUACUCUCACACUGGUUCUCAAUGAAAAAUAGUGUCUUUGUGAUUUUGAGUAAAGCUCCUAUCUGUUUUCUC
rnacentral:sRNA from 1 species